rnacentral:rRNA from 1 species
AUUGAACGCUGGCGGCAGGCCUAACACAUGCAAGUCGCACGAGUGGCGGACGGGUGAGUAAUGUCUGGGAAACUGCCCGCUGGAGGGGGAUAACUCCUGGAAACGGUAGCUACUACCGCAUACCAUCAGAUGUGCCCAGAUGGGAGUAGCUAGUUGGCUGGGUAACGGCUCACCAAGUCGACGAUCCCUAGCUGGUCUGAGAGGAUGACCAGCCACACUGGAACUGAGACACGGUCCAUACUCCUACGGGAGGCAGCAGUGGGGAAUAUUGCAAAAUGGGCGCAAGCCGGAUGCAGCCAUGCCGCGGUUAUGAAGAAGGCCUUCGGGUUGUAAAGUACUUUCAGCGGGGAGGCGUUACCCGCAGAAGAAGCACCGGCUAACUCCGUGCCAGCAGCCGCGGUAAUUC